rnacentral:rRNA from 1 species
AGCAGCCGCGGUAAUUCCAGCUCCAAUAGCGUAUAUUAAAGUUGCUGCAGUUAAAAAGCUCGUAGUUGAAUUUCGGGACCAUCAUGUCGGUCGUGCCUCGGUACGUACUGGCAUUGUUGGUUUCUACCUUCUGACGAACCACAAUGUCAUUAAUUUGGUGUCAUGGGAAAUCAGGACUGUUACUUUGAAAAAUUAGAGUGUUUAAAGCAGGCUCGCGCUUGAAUACAUUAGCAUGGAAUAAUGAAAUAGGACGUUUGAUUCUAUUUUGUUGGUUUCUAGGAUCGACGUAAUGAUUAAUAGUGAUAGUUGGGGCAUUAGUAUUCAAUUGUCAGAGGUGAAAUUCUUGGAUUUAUUGAAGACUAACUACU